rnacentral:sRNA from 1 species
GCCAGGUGUGGUGGUGCAUACUUGUAAUUCCAGCAACUUGGGAGGCUGAGGCAGGAGGAUUUUCAAGUUUGAGGAUAGCCUCAAGAACUCAGCAAGAUCCUAUCUCAA